CUCCCCCUCCGUUCCCUGACAGUUGUCUCACCUGGCUGAGGCUCCGACGCAACUCAGGUGGAAGAGCCAUCAAACAUUUAGCCUCACAAGUGGCUGGUGUUCUACAAUACAAGUGUUAACUGUGAUUAAUAGCUAUACCAGAGCUUCAAAACUGUAGCACCCUACGUUAAUAGGCGUAAAUCUAAAAUUAAUAUAAAAUGUGAGGUGGUACAACGUUAUGUCAUCACAGAUAACGAUGAUGCCACGGCGAAGAUGUUCAGUAUGAGAGCAUCUAUGGAAUUCCUCGCUGUCCUUGCCUGCUCCAUGGUAGUGGGGGCAAACAGAUUCCUUGAGGAACACCACAACAGCAAGACUCAACACCCAGCCCAUUGUCCAGGAGCUAUUGGUGCCCACCAAGGAGCCUCCUGUGUCGUACUUCCUGCUGCCCCGCUUCCUGUCCUGUCUACUCCAGGGAACCCCAAGCUAACUAAUACCACACCCACCAGUAGCAACA